GAUGAACGCUAGCUACAGGCUUAACACAUGCAAGUCGAGGGGUAGCAGGGUAGCAAUACCGCUGACGACCGGCGCACGGGUGAGUAACACGUAUCCAACCUUCCCAUAACUCGGGGAUAGCCUUUCGAAAGAAAGAUUAAUACCCGAUAGUACUUUUUCAAGGCAUCUUGAGAAAGUUAAAGAUUCAUUGGUUAUGGAUGGGGAUGCGUUCCAUUAGAUAGUUGGUGAGGUAACGGCUCACCAAGCCUUCGAUGGAUAGGGGUUCUGAGAGGAAGGUCCCCCACAUUGGUACUGAGACACGGACCAAACUCCUACGGGAGGCAGCAGUGAGGAAUAUUGGUCAAUGGGCGAGAGCCUGAACCAGCCAAGUAGCGUGAAGGAUGAAGGUCCUAUGGAUUGUAAACUUCUUUUAUAGUAGAAUAAAGUGGUCCACGUGUGGAUUUUUGUAUGUAUACUAUGAAUAAGGAUCGGCUAACUCCGUGCCAGCCGCCGCCGUAA
rnacentral:rRNA from 1 species